GACGUAGGUGGCGAACGUUAUCCGGAAUUAUUGGGCGUAAAGGAUGCGUAGAUGGUGUAGUAAGUUAUCGGUGGCAAAUCGAGGCUCAACCUCGUGGAAGUCGGUAAUACUGCUAUGCUAGAGGAUAGGAGAGGUUAACGGAACUCCCUGUGGAGCGGUGAAAUGCGUAGAUAUAGGGAAGAACACCAAUCAGGCGAAGGCAGUUAACUAUUCUAUUCCUGACAUUGAGGCAUGAAAGCGUGGGGAGCAAACA
rnacentral:rRNA from 1 species